rnacentral:rRNA from 1 species
GUAGUCUCGCACAGAUGCAUAUCAAUAAGCGGAGGAAAAGAAACUAACAAGGAUUCCCUUAGUAACGGCGAGUGAAGCGGGAAGAGCUCAAAUUUGAAAUCUUCAAGGUUUUACCUUGACGAAUUGUAGUUUAAAGAAGUGUUUUCUGUUGAAGUUUUGGUAAAAGUUCUUUGGAAUAGGACAUCAUAGAGGGUGAGAAUCCCGUAUUUGACCAUUAUUUUCAGCUGUGUGAUACACUUUCAAAGAGUCGGAUUGUUUGGGAAUGCAGUCCAAAAUGGGUGGUAAAUUUCAUCUAAAGCUAAAUAUUGGCGAGAGACCGAUAGCGAACAAGUACCGUGAGGGAAAGAUGAAAAGAACUUUGAAAAGAGAGUUAAACAGUACGUGAAAUUGUCAAAAGGGAAGCGUUUGACACCAGUGUUGUUUUCUCGAAAAUCAAUUAAAAAGAGUUUAGAUUUUGUUGUGUAUUGACCUUAACAGCUUGCAUUUCAAUUUUCUUGCUUUUUUUAAUGCACUUUUCGUUUAACAAGUCAACAUCAGUUUCUUUUGUUGUAAAAAGGUCAUUGGAAGGUGGCUUUCUUUUCGGAGAAAGUGUUUAUAGCCUUUGACUCCUGCAAUCGGAGAGACUGAGGUCUGCAGCGUAGAUCCUUCGGGGUUAGAUACAUUUGUGCUAAGUUAUAGCUUUUUAUAGACAACUUGUUGACUAUGAUUAGUCUUGUAGCUUACUCGCUUAUGCUAUUUUACCUACGCUUAGGAUGUUGAGCGCAUGUCUCUCUCU